GAUGAACGCUUGCGGCCGCCUAAUACAUGCAAGUCGAACGGUAAAUAUUCUCAAGGGAUAUGAGAGUGACGUACGGGUGCGUAACACGUAUGCAACCUACCCUUUACAGGAGGAUAGCUCGGGGAAACUCGGAUUAACCCUCCAUAAUAUAAUUGGAUGGCAUCAUUUGGUUAUUAAAUCUACUGAGGUAAAGGAUGGGCAUGCGUCUGAUUAGUUACUUGGCGGUGUAACCGACCACCGACACAAUGAUCAAUAGGGGAACUGAGAGGUUGAUCCCCCACACUGGCACUGAGAUACGGGCCAGACUCCUACGGGAGGCAGCAGUAGGAAAUAUUGGUCAAUGGAUGCAAGUCUGAACCAACCAUGCCCCGUGUGGGAAGAAGGCCUUCUGGGUUGUAAACUGCUUUUGCCAGGGGCUAAAAAGCCCAUGCGUGGGAAAUUGAAGGUACCUGGUGAAUAAGCCACGGCUAACUACGUGCCAUCAGCCGCGGUAAUACAUAUGUGGCGAGCGUUGUCCGGAUUUAUUGUGUUUAAAGGGUGCGUAGGCGUCCCCUCAUGUUUUAGGUGAAAUGCUCAGGCUCAACUUGAGAGCUGCCUGAUACACUCUUGGGAUUGAGUACAGAUGAUGGUAGGUCGGAAUUGUACGGUGUAGCGGCGAAAUGCAUAGAUAUCGUCAGGAACACGUAUAGCGAAGGCAGCUUACUAUCCUGUAACUGACGCUGAGGCACGAAAGUGUGGGGAUCAAACAGGAUUAGAUACCGUGGUAGUCCACACUGUAAACGUUGAUGACUCGCUGUGUGCGAUCUACAGUACGCGGUCAAGCGAAAGCGAUAAGUCAUCCACCUGGGGAGUACGCCGGCAACGGUGAAACUCAAAGGAAUUGACGGGGGUCCGCACGAGCGGUGGAGCAUGUGGUUUAAUUCGAUGAUACGCGAGGAACCUCACCUCGGUUAGAAUUCCCUUGUCUGGUGCAGAGAUGUAUCGUUCCGCAAGGACAAGGAGCAAGGUGCUGCAUGGCUGUCGUCAGCUCGUGCCGUGAGGUGUUGGGUUAAGUCCCGCAACGAGCGCAACCCUUAUUCUUAGUUGCCAGCACGUCAAGGUGGGGACUAUAAGAAGACCGCCUGCGCAAGCAGAGAGGAAGGAGGGGAUGACGUCAAGUCCUCAUGGCCCUUACACGCUGGGCUACACACGUGAUACAAUGGCGGUGACAGUGGGCAGCGAGCACGCGAGUGUGACCUUAUCUCCAAAAGCCGUCUCAGUUCGGAUUGUUUUCUGCAACUCGAGAGCAUGAAGGCGGAAUCGCUAGUAAUCGCGGAUCAGCAUGCCGCGGUGAAUACGUUCCCAGGCCUGCACACAC
rnacentral:rRNA from 1 species